GUUCUUACCUGGAGCAGGGGCCUCGUUGAUUUCCGGGGACGAGCCCCAGGGCGAGGCGCUGGCAUUGCACUGCGCUCGCGUUGAUCCCUGCCCCUACCCCAAACUGGGGCAGGUGGGGCAUGCAAAUUGCUUAAAUCCGGUUCCGCGCAAGAGAGGGCGCCACCGAC
rnacentral:snRNA from 1 species